rnacentral:tRNA from 2 species
GCCGACGUGGUGGAAUUGGUAGACACGCUAUCUUGAGGGGGUAGUGGCGAAAGCCUUGCGAGUUCGAUUCUCGCCGUCGGCACCA